CCCUGUCCCAUCCACCCGCCUCCAAGUCUAUCUCAGUCCCCCCCCCGAUACAUCCCCGUAUAUCCCAGUCUAUGCCUGUGCCCCCUGGUGGUUCCAGAGCCCUUCGAGUGCCCCUUUUGUUUCCAAAAGUGCUCUUCUUGUCCCUCCCAGUCUAUCCCAGUGCCUUAACAGUCCACUCCCAGUGCCCUUUUUGCCCCUAAAAGUGCCUCGCAGUCCUUCCUAGUCGUGUCCAAUCCCUCCCAAAUCCCAUUCAAUCCCCUCCAAAUCUAUUCCAGUCACUCAUGGUGUAUCCCAGUGCCUUCCAAAUCUAUUCCAGUCACUCCCAGUUCAUCCCAGUCGCCUCCCAGUCCUGUCCAAUCCCUCCCAAAUCCCAUUCAAUCCCCUCCAAAUCUAUCCCAGUCACUCCCAGUGUAUCCCAGUGCCUUCCAAAUCUAUUCCAGUCACUCCCAGUCCAUCCCAGUGCCCUGCAAAUCUAGCCCAGUCACUCCCGGUUCAUUCCAGUCUUAUCCCAGUGCCCUCCAAAUCUGUUCCUGUCACUCCCAGUCCAUCCCAGUCGAUCCCAUUACCCCCCAGUCGCUCCCAGUCGCCUCCCAGUGCCCAUUUUGUUCCUAAAAGUGUACUUUUUGUCCCUCCCAGUCCCUUCAAAGCCCAUCCCAGUCACCCGUGUAACCUCACAGCGUGUGUGCCCACACAUCCCCGGCUGUGCCCGGGGGCCGGUGGGCACCUCCCGGUGUGCUCCCAUCUCCCGGUGUGCUCCCACCUCCCGGUGUGCUCCCAUCUCCCGGUGUGCUCCCACAUCCCGCUGCUCCGGGACCGCUGCGCCGUUUUCCCUCUUUCCCCCUGGGGGAGAGAAAGGACGAACCCCGCUCCUGGAGCUGCUCCCGGCGUGUCCCGGAUCGCUCCGUCCUCCCGGAGGAAGAGGAGGAGGAGGAGGAGGAGGAGAUGCGUGUCCGCCCGCGGGGCCCCGGGAGCGUGAGGUUCCCCGGUUCUGUCCCGGUACCGGGUGGAGCGGGGCGAGCCGCGGGGCCUCGGGAGCAGGAGGUUACCCGCUAUCGGUACCGAGCGGAUCGGGGCUCAGGGGAGCAGGAGGAUCCCCGGUAUCGGUACCGAGCGGAUCGGGGCUCAGGGGAGCAGGAG
rnacentral:lncRNA from 1 species